rfam:Felis catus isolate Cinnamon breed Abyssinian chromosome A3, whole genome shotgun sequence.
GCCUGGGUGGCUCAGUCAGUUAAGCAUCUGACUUCAGCUCAGGUCAUGAUCUCCCAGCUCAUGGGUUCAAGCCCUCUACCAGGCU